rnacentral:rRNA from 1 species
UAACGCGUGAGUAACCUGCCUUACACAAGGGGAUAGCCUUUGGAAACGAAGAAUAAUACCCUAUAAAACUAUAAAAGCACAUGCAAUUAUGGUCAAAGUGAUAGCGGUGUAAGAUGGACUUGCGUCUGAUUAGCUAGUUGGUGAGAUAAAAGCUCACCAAGGCAACGAUCAGUAGCCGGCUUGAGAGAGUGUACAGCCACAUUGGGACUGAGACACGGCCCAG